GGGGAGAUAGCUCAUUGGUAAAGCACUUGCCUGGCAUGCAUGAGGCCCUGGGUUCAAUCCCCAUCACCACA
rnacentral:tRNA from 1 species